rnacentral:rRNA from 1 species
GACAGAGGGGGCAAGCGUUGCUCGGAAUUACUGGGCGUAAAGGGCGCGUAGGCGGGAUGGCAAGUCGGUCGUGAAAUCCCUCGGCUCAACCGAGGAACGUCGAUCGAUACUGCUGUUCUUGAGGAUUGCAGAGGAGACUGGAAUUCCCGGUGUAGCGGUGAAAUGUGUAGAGAUCGGGAGGAACACCUGUGGCGAAAGCGGCUCACUGGACCACAACUGACGCUGAGGCGCGAAAGCUAGGGGAGCAAACAGG